rnacentral:rRNA from 1 species
AUUGAACGCUGGCGGCAGGCCUAACACAUGCAAGUCGAGCGGAUGAAGGGAGCUUGCUCCCUGAUUCAGCGGCGGACGGGUGAGUAAUGCCUAGGAAUCUGCCUGGUAGUGGGGGACAACGCUUCGAAAGGAACGCUAAUACCGCAUACGUCCUACGGGAGAAAGCAGGGGACCUUCGGGCCUUGCGCUAUCAGAUGAGCCUAGGUCGGAUUAGCUAGUUGGUGAGGUAAUGGCUCACCAAGGCGACGAUCCGUAACUGGUCUGAGAGGAUGAUCAGUCACACUGGAACUGAGACACGGUCCAGACUCCUACGGGAGGCAGCAGUGGGGAAUAUUGGACAAUGGGCGAAAGCCUGAUCCAGCCAUGCCGCGUGUGUGAAGAAGGUCUUCGGAUUGUAAAGCACUUUAAGUUGGGAGGAAGGGUUGCUGAUUAAUACUCUGCAAUUUUGACGUUACCGACAGAAUAAGCACCGGCUAACUCUGUGCCAGCCGCCGCAGUAA